UGCAGUCGGACGGGAUAGGAGAGCUUGCUUUCCUUGAGAGUGGCGCACGGGUGCGUAACACGUAUGUAACCUACCUUGUUCAGGGGGAUAGCCUCUCGAAAGAGAGAUUAAGACCGCAUAACAUUAUGAUAUGGCAUCGUAUUAUAAUCAAAUAUUUAUAGGAACAAGAUGGGCAUGCGGAACAUUAGCUAGUUGGUAAGGUAACGGCUUACCAAGGCUACGAUGUUUAGGGGAUCUGAGAGGAUGACCCCCCACACUGGUACUGAGACACGGACCAGACUCCUACGGGAGGCAGCAGUAAGGAAUAUUGGUCAAUGGGCGGAAGCCUGAACCAGCCAUGCCGCGUGCAGGAAGACGGCCCUACGGGUUGUAAACUGCUUUUGUACCGGAAUAAACCUUGAUUCGUGAAUCAAGCUGAAUGUACGGUAAGAAUAAGGAUCGGCUAACUCCGUGCCAGCAGCCGCGGUAAUACGGAGGAUCCAAGCGUUAUCCGGAUUUAUUGGGUUUAAAGGGUGCGUAGGUGGCUUAUUAAGUCAGGGGUGAAAGACGGUAGCUUAACUAUCGCAGUGCCUUUGAUACUGAUGAGCUUGAAUGAACUAGAGGUAGGCGGAAUGUGACAAGUAGCGGUGAAAUGCAUAGAUAUGUCACAGAACACCAAUUGCGAAGGCAGCUUACUAUGGUUUGAUUGACACUGAGGCACGAAAGCGUGGGGAUCAAACAGGAUUAGAUACCCUGGUAGUCCACGCCCUAAACGAUGAAUACUCGAUGUUGGCGAUAUACGGUCAGCGUCUAAGCGAAAGCGUUAAGUAUUCCACCUGGGGAGUACGCCCGCAAGGGUGAAACUCAAAGGAAUUGACGGGGGCCCGCACAAGCGGAGGAGCAUGUGGUUUAAUUCGAUGAUACGCGAGGAACCUUACCCGGGCUUGAAAGUUAGUGAAUUGAGCAGAGACGCUCAAGUCCUUCGGGACACGAAACUAGGUGCUGCAUGGCUGUCGUCAGCUCGUGCCGUGAGGUGUUGGGUUAAGUCCCGCAACGAGCGCAACCCCUAUGUUUAGUUGCCAGCACGUCAAGGUGGGGACUCUAAACAGACUGCCUAUGCAAAUAGA
rnacentral:rRNA from 1 species